UGAAAGAAAAGGUGGUAUUUCACUUGCAACU
rnacentral:piRNA from 1 species